ensembl:snRNA U1 U1 spliceosomal RNA
AUAAUUACCUAGCAGGGUGUAUUCCAUGAUCCCAGGAAUGGUGUUCUCAGGAGGAGGCUUAUGCAUUGCACUCCAUAUAUACUGACCCCUGUGAUUGCCCCAAAUGUGGGAAACUCAACUGUGUAAUUUGUGGUAAUGGGGGACCGUGUUUGCACAUUCCUCUA